CAAAGCUGAUCUCCCUUGACCGUCCGAACAGGGGCUCCGAUGCCAGUUAUCCGGAUCCCUCACUCCAGUUCGCCUGCUUCGCUCCUUCCCCGGCAACCUCAUCCAAUACCCGCCUCCUCGCCUCGUUCAAUAAACCCUUUUUCCUUCAACUCAACUUCGUCUCCGUCUGCUCUUGGGUUCAGCAUCGUUUAACCAUAACACUACGUUUACAUUUUUUACUUUUUUUGUAUGUUUCAAGUGUAGGCCUAUAUGUUUGACAACAAACCUUCUCCAAUAUUUCCCUCAAGAAUACAAACUCUUUCGUUCAAUGUUGUGGGAAAUUUGAAACGUGGAGAAAAAUAAUCUGCCAACUAGGCCGACUUGAAAACU
ensembl:lncRNA